rnacentral:rRNA from 1 species
CCUACGGGUGGCAGCAGUGAGGAAUAUUGGUCAAUGGACGAGAGUCUGAACCAGCCAAGUAGCGUGAAGGAUGACUGCCCUAUGGGUUGUAAACUUCUUUUAUAUGGGAAUAAAAUGUUCCACGUGUGGGAUUUUGUAUGUACCAUGUGAAUAAGGAUCGGCUAACUCCGUGCCAGCAGCCGCGGUAAUACGGAGGAUCCGAGCGUUAUCCGGAUUUAUUGGGUUUAAAGGGAGCGUAGGUGGAUUGUUAAGUCAGUUGUGAAAGUUUGCGGCUCAACCGUAAAAUUGCAGUUGAAACUGGCAGUCUUGAGUACAGUAGAGGUGGGCGGAAUUCGUGGUGUAGCGGUGAAAUGCUUAGAUAUCACGAAGAACUCCGAUUGCGAAGGCAGUUCACUGGACUGCAACUGACACUGAGGCUCGAAAGUGUGGGUAUCAAACAGGAUUAGAUACCCGAGUAGUC